ACACCAAAUCUCCUGCACUUGCACAUAGACCCCUGGCCCUCACAUUUGGGAGUUCACACAGCUCAAAUCCCACACCUUUUUCCAAAGCUCAAAGGUCUCAAACUUCGCCAUGAACAUGUACCAGAGAGAGACUUCUUACACCUUCACCAGCUGCAGGACCUGGAAUACUUGGAGAUUCUGGAUAUGCGCCCUCAACUUUCGGAGCUUAUAGGCAAGCUCCAAGUUCUCACAGAGUACAGACUUCAGAUCACAACCUCUUGUCAAAAGAGAGAUGUGUUGUCUUGUCCUUGUGUUUGUCAGGUGUAUUGAAUUCCUGUCCUUUUCCCCAGCCAGUCACAUUGUUUCCAUGUUGGUGUUGUUUUAA